AGAAUCAACGCUGGCGGCGUGCCUAACACAUGCAAGUCGAACGCGAAAGUCCCGCAAGGGAUAAGUAGAGUGGCAAACGGGUGAGUAACACGUGGGUGACCUGCCUUCGAGUGGGGGAUAACGUCCCGAAAGGGACGCUAAUACCGCAUAACAUCCUGCCUUUUAACAGGCGGACAUCAAAGCUGGGGAUCGCAAGACCUAGCGCUUGAAGAGGGGCCCGCGCCUGAUUAGCUAGUUGGUGGGGUAAUGGCUCACCAAGGCAACGAUCAGUA
rnacentral:rRNA from 1 species